rnacentral:sRNA from 1 species
AAAAGUGCCAAGAAGGUGGAUGGAGAUGUUUUAAAAUGAAAACGGUCUCUUCCACAUGAGAGGAAGAGACUUAUUUUGCUAACCUGGUUGUAACUGGAUGAAAUAUGAACAAGGAAGGGUGAACUUAGUUCUAUUAAUCCAAACAGAUUAUUUCACCGUGUGGAGUAGAAAUAAAAAUAGACCAAGUGUCUUAUGUCCCAAACAAACCAAGUUGUAUCUGUGCCAGCUUUGUCUCCAUACCAUGUAGGGUGAGAAUCCUGCUGGGCACAGGGACACUUUAGCCUAAAUAGGGCAUAGAGAAUUCUUGUAGACUCCUAGCUUCUCUCUGUGGCAGCUCCCACAUUUCAUUUCUAUCCUUUAUAUUUUUUUGCAGAGCUGGAGGUAAAUGCUGCCGUAGUCUCUGGACAAAGCAGUGAGCCCAAAGAGAUAGUUGAAAAGUCCAAAAUCCCAAGCCGAAGAAACUCCCGAACCGAAGAGCCAACUGUGGCUUCUGAAAGUGUGGAAAAUGGACAUCGUAAACGAUCUUCUCGACCUGCUUCAGCCUCCAGCUCUACUAAAGACAUAACCAGUGCGGUGCAAUCCAAGCGAAGAAAAUCCAAGUAAACAAGCAGGACUGCGACUUGAUACUUGUAAAUGUGUGUGACUUUUACAAAGAGCAAUUUUGAGCUGUGACUUUUUUAAAUCAAUUUCUGUACAGUUAGUAAUUUUAAUAAUGUGGCCCUUUUCCUAGUCCCUGCAACCUGUUUCAUAAAGUGCAAUGGGGAAAGCAGGACUGUUGAGCCCUUUUGGUGUUGCGAGUUGAAGUUCCAGGUUUCUAAAAUGUUGUCUUGUAUUGAAAGGAGCUAAUGCCAUUAUAAA